AAGAAUUAAUUUAUCUUACUCUCAUUGUUUCUUUUUACUCAGAGUAAUUUCUAGCUUACUUUGUUCUUAUAAUGUGAAGUUUUGUAAUAGUUUUAAGUGAUUGUACUUUUAAAAUACAGUAAUAUAUUGUCAAUGUAUAUAGAAUUGUGGUAAGCUAGAAAUUACUCUUAGUAAUUUCAUAAAGUUUGUUAUCUAACGUAAAUUUCAGAAAGUUUGUUAUCUAAAGUAAUUUAAAGAUGUACUGUGAAUCAUACAACUAAAUUUUGAAUAAGUGCUGAGAAUGUCCUUUCCACACUACCUCUUUUCAGUUCUACCAUUUUCUAUUUGUCAUUUUCAUUUAUACCCUUUUUAGAUUUUUAAUGACCAUUUUACCACUAUUUGGAAAUUGUUUUAGGUUAACAAAAUGAAAUAUUAAUAUUUCUUCGCAUAAAAUAUUUCAAAAUAAAUUUCCUGCCAAAUUUUUCCUGCCAAAAUAUUUUUUCAAAAACAUGUUUCCCGCAA
rnacentral:sRNA from 1 species